rnacentral:rRNA from 1 species
UCCUACGGGAGGCAGCAGUGGGGAAUAUUGGACAAUGGGCGCAAGCCUGAUCCAGCCAUGCCGCGUGAGUGAUGAAGGCCUUAGGGUUGUAAAGCUCUUUUGUCCGGGAAGAUAAUGACUGUACCGGAAGAAUAAGCCCCGGCUAACUUCGUGCCAGCAGCCGCGG